ensembl:lncRNA
UUUUUUUUUUUUUUUUUUUUUUUUUUUUUUUGAGAUGGAGUCUCGCUCUUGCUCUGUUGCCCAGGCUGGAGUGCAGUUGUGCGAUCUCGGUUCACUGCAACCUCCACCUCCCGGGUUCAAGCAGUUCUGUCUCAGCCUGCUGAGUAGCUGGGACUACAGGUGCACGCCACGAUAGCCAGCUAAUUUUUGCAUUUUUAGUAGAGACGGGGUUUCACCAUAUUGGUCAGGCUGGUCUCAGACUCCUGACCUCAGGUGAUCCACUCGCCUUGACCUCCCAAAGUGCUGGGAUUACAGGCAUGAGCCACCGUGCCAGGCCAGGAGCCUGAAUUUUUUUGUACUCUCCUUUGUCCUUGAAAGCAGAGAAUACUUGUGGGCUGGCUAUGGAAUAUUUUUUACCUGGAGAUGUCUUCAUAGGUCAGAACUGUGAAAAGGCUGAUGUUUUAUCUGAAUUACAAGGUAGCAGGUUGUCCUGUCCUGGUAAAAAACACAGAUAUUGGUAAAAAACACAGCUUGGCCGGGCGUGGUGGCUCAUGCCUGCAAUCACAGCACUUUGGGAGGCUGAGGCAGGCAGGUAACUUGAGGUCAGGAGUUCGAGACCAGCCUGGCCAACAUGGUCAAACCCCGACUUUACUAAAAAUACUAAAAUUAGUGUGGUGUAAUGGUGCACACCUGUAAUCUCAACUACUCAGGAGGUUGAGGCAGGAGAAUCACUUGAACCCAGGAGGUGGAGGUUGCAGUGAGCCAAGAUCACGCCACUGCACUCCAGCCUGGGCCACAGAGUGCAGCAUACACAGUCAGCUUGUGACACAGCUGAGCCCUGAGUUUGGGAAAACCCCAAUCUAAUAAGAGGGCUGAGAGCAAAUGCUUCCCAAACUUUGUCCUGGAAGGAGACAAUACCUUUAUCAUCUUAGUUGGGAACAAAGUCUGCCCUCCAAAAGGAAGAUGCUAUCCCUAUUCCCUGAGACUGUUCACUAUACAAACAUCCUUGAAAAGAGGCCGGUCACAAUGGCUCACGCCUGUAAUCCCAGCAUUUUGGAAGGCUGAGCCGGGUGGAUCACAAGGUCAGGAGUUCAAGACCAGCCUGGCCAAGAUGGUGAAACCCCGUCUGUACUAAAAAUACAAAAAAAUUAGCCGGGCGUGGUGGUUGGUACCUGUAAUCCCAGCUACUCAGGAGGCUGAGGCAGAGAACUGCUUGAACCCAGCAGGCAGAGAAUUGCUUGAACCCAGGAGGCAGAGGUUGCAUUGAGCCGAGAUCAUGCCACUGACCUCCAGCCUGGGCAACAGAGUGAGACUCCGUCUAACAAAAAAAAAAAAAGAAAGAAAGAAAGAAAAGAAAAGAUAGCUCAGAACAAAGGCUGUCAGGGCUUAUGCGUGUAAUAUGGGCAGACCUAUAGCGAAUCACUUCCCAACACAGAUUCUUCACUUUCUAGAAUUCAUUAGAUGAGGGGACAACAGAAAGACUUGAUAGGAACGGUGACCUCUCACAAAUCCGUAAUAUUGCAAAUAACACUCUCCCCUAUACGGGCCCAGCUACCUUUCCUUGAGUGAAGAGAAGUAUACUUUCUGGAACUUACUUUCCCAGGGCUGCUAUUGAAAUCCUGUUCCAAUCAGACC